rnacentral:rRNA from 1 species
GACGAACCACACAAACGUUAUUCGGAAUUACUGGGCUUAAAGGGUGCGUAGGCGGCGCAGAAAGUAGGGUGUGAAAUCCCUCGGCUCAACCGAGGAACUGCGCCCUAAACUACUGUGCUCGAGGGAGGUAGAGGUGAGCGGAACUUAGGGUGGAGCGGUGAAAUGCGUUGAUAUCCUAAGGAACACCGGUGGCGAAGGCGGGUCUCUGGGCCGAUACUGACGCUGAGGAGCGAAAGCGUGGGGAGCGAACAGG